UGACUGCGCCCGGCUGGCGGGCGACCCUGGUUGCGCCCGGCUGGCGGGCGUCCCUGGCGGCUCCGGCGGCACUGACCCAGGAUUCACCAGGCUGGAGAGAUAUGAAGGAGGCCUAGCCCUGGGCGCAGGCACAGGACGCACCAGUCUGGCGGGCGGCUCUGGCGGCUCCGGGCUGGCGGGCGGCUCUGGCAACUCUGGCCCAGGAUUCACCAGGCUGGGGAGAUAUGAAGGAGGCCUGGCCCUGGGCGCAGGUACAGGAUGCACCAGUCUGGCGGGCGGCUCUGGCGGCUCCGGGCUGGCGGGCGGCUCUGGCGGCUCUAGCCCAGGAUUCACCAGGCUGGGGAGACAUGUAUGAGGCCUGGUCCUGGGCACAGGCACAUGACUCACCAGGCUGGGGAGACAUGAAAGAGGCCUGGCCCUAGGCGUAGGCACAGGACUCACCGGGCUGGCGGGCGGCUCUGACUGCUCUGGACAGGCGGACGGCUCUGGCGGCUCCGGACAGGCGGGCGGCUCUGGCGGCUCUGGACAGGCGGGUGGCUCUGGCGGCUCCGGACAGGCGGGCGGCUCUGGCGGCUUCGGACAGUCCGGGCGGCUCUGGCGGCUCCGGAGAGGCGGGCGGCUCUGGCGGCUUCGGACAGUCCGGGCGGCUCUGGCGGCUCCGGACAGGCGGGCGGCUCUGGCGGCUCCGGACUGGCGGGCGGCUCUGGCGGCUCCUGACUGGCGGGCGGCUCUGACGGCUCCUGACUGGCGGGCGGUUCUGGCGGCUCCGGACUGGCGGGCGGUCCUGGCGGCUCCGGACUGGCGAGCGGCUCUGGCGGCUCCGGACUGGCGAGACCCACUGGAGGCCUAGUCCUGGGAGGUGGCACAGGACGGACCAGGAUGGGGAGACCCACUGGGGGCCUAGUCCUGGGAGGUGGCACAGGACGGACCAGGAUGGGGAGACCCACUGGAGGCCUGGUCCGAGGAGGAGGCACAGGAUAAACCGGGCUGUGGGGGAGCACUGGAGUUCUGGUAUGGAGGCUCUUUACCCACACUCCAGGCUGAAUGCCCACUUUGGCCCAGCACGGGCGGAGAGCAGGCAUUGGGUGAACUGGACCCUCCCAGCGCUCUGGAGACACAGUGCGCAACGCCGGCGCAGGAUAACCUGGACCGAGGAGGCGCACUGGAGACCAGACGCGCUGAGCUGGCACCAUCCGCCCUGGCUCGAUGCCUGCACUCGCAUGGCACUUGCGGGGGGCUGGUAUGUAGCGCACCGGGCUUUGAAUGCGCACUGGGAACACCGUGCGCUCCACAGCAUAACACGGUGUCUUACCAGUACCACGCUGCUUCCGGUAAGCACGGGGAGUUGGCUCAGGUCUACCGCCUGACUCCGCCAAUCUCCCCGUGUGCACCCCUCAAAACAUUUUUUGGGGCUGCCUCCUGUGUCCGUUGCGCUCCCUUUCCUCAUACCAGCGCCUCUCAGCUCUCGCCGCCUCGAUCUCCCACUGCGGGCGGUGAUAAUCCCCAGCUUGAGCCCAUGGUCCUUUCCCGUCCAGGAUUUCCUCCCAAGUCCACGACUCCAGAUAGCUUUUCUCCUGGUGCCUCUCCUUGUGCUGCUCCUUCCUCCGCUGCUUGGUCCGUUGUUGGUGGGUAAUUCUGUAACGGCUGUCUGUGGAAGUAGACCAAGGUGCAGCAGAGGAUGUGUUCAUCAUUAGAAUUUUAAUAGAACAACGUGAACACUAUACAAAAAACAAGAAGACUGACAGCCAAAACAGUCCUGUCAGGUGCAAACACUAACAGAAACAAUUACCCACAAAACCCAAAGGAAAAACAUGCUCCUUAUGUGUGACUCCCAAUCAGCAACAACAAGCUUCAGCUGUGCCUGAUUGGGAGCCACACACGGUCCAAAACAAAGAAAUACAAAAACAUAGAAAAAGGAACAUAGAACGCCCACCCAAUGUAACACCCUGGCCUAACCAAAAUAAAGAACAAAAACCCCUUAGCCAGACCAGUCAAUUUACACUUUGUUAGCUACUGUACAUCUAAUCAACAAAUCAUACAAACAUAGCUAAUUGCCUUCAAUAGGAUAUACAUAAUAAUUAAUACUCUAAGCAUUACAUUGAAUAAAUGUAUAAUUAGUGUGUGCGUUUUGAAAUAAAUAUUGAAUCAGUAGCCGACGAAUGAGCAAUUAAAGAAGCGCCACUCAUAGUCUUUGUAAAUGAAACUAAACUAGUUUUGAUAGUCUGUGGAACACAAGCCUACAAAAUACAAUACCACCACAGAGCUCCUGAGUGGCGCAGCGGUCUAAGGCAUUGCAUCGCAGUGCUAGAGGCGUCACUACAGACCCUGGUUUGAUUCCAGGGUCUGUAGUGCCAUUUAUUUUGGGUUAUAAUCAUAUACAAAGUAUGCUGAAUAAUGUUCAUACCAUUGUCACCAAACAACUGUAUUACACUCAAAAUAAUUAGAAUUCAGAUGUUAAUCUGGGUGAUGACACUAGCUUGCUAAAUUAGCUAACCAAACCCAUUAUGAUGGUUAGCUAGCAUGGUAGCUAUCUCUACUGCUACAUCUGUUGAGUGGUGUGGGGGCUGUGCUUUGGCAAAGUGGGUGGGUUUAUAUCCUGCCUGGUUGGCCCUGUCUGGGAGUAUCAUCGGACGGGGCCACAGUGUCCCCCCAACAAAUCAAAUACAUUUUAUAUUUGAGAUUCUUCAAAAUAGCCACCCUUUGUCUUGAUAACAGCUUUGCACACUCUUGGCAUUCUCUCAACCAGCGUCAUGAGGUAGUCACCUGGAAUGCAUUUCAAUUAACAGGUGUGCCUUGUUAAAAGUUAAUUUGUGGAAUUUCUUUCCUUCUUAAUGUGUUUGAGCCAAUCAGUUGUGUUGUGACAAGAUAGGGGUGGUAUACAGAAGAUAGCCCUAUUUGGUAAAAGACCAAGUCCAUAUUAUGGCAAGAACAUUUCAAAUAAGCAAAAAGAGACGCCAGUCCAUCAUUAUUUUAAGAUAUGAUGGUCAGUCAAUCUGGAAAAUGUCAAGAACUUUGAAAGUUUCUUCAAGUUCAGUCGCAAAAACCAUCAAGCGCUAUGAUGAAACUGGCUGUCAUGACGAGCGCCAGAGGAAAGGAAGUCCCAGAGUUACUUCUACUGCAGAGGAUACGCUUAUUAGAGUUACCAGCCUCAUAAAUUGCAGCCCAAAUAAAUGCUUCACAGAGUUCAAGUAACAGACACAUCUAAAAGUCAACAUUUCAGAGGAGACUGUGUGAAUCAGGCCUUCAUGGUAAAUUGCCGCAAAGAAACCACUAAUAAAGGACACUAAUAAUAAGAAGAGACUUGCUUGGGCCAAGAAACCCGAGCAAUGGACAUUAGACGGGUGGAAAACUGUCCUUUGGUCUGAUGAGUCCAAAUUUUAGAUUUUUGGUUCCAACCGCCGUGUCUUUGUGAGAUGCAGAGUAGGUGAAUGGAUGAUCUCCGCAUGUGUGGUUCCCACAGUGAAGCAUGGAGGAGGAGGUGUGUGGUGUGGGGGUGCUUUGCUGGUGACAGUGUCAGUGUUUUAUUUAGAAUUCAAGGCACACUUAACCAGCAUGGCUACCACAGCAUUCUGCAGUGAUACGCCAUCCCAUCUGGUUUGAGCUUAGUGGGACUAUUAUUUGUUUUUCAACAGGACAAUGACCCAACUCACCUCCAGGCUGUGUAAGGGAUAUUUGACCAAGAAGGAGAGUGAUGGAGUGCUGCAUCAGUUGACCUGGCCUCCACAAUCACCCGACCUCAAUCCAGUUGAGAUGGUUUGGGAUGAGUUGAACUGCAGAGUGAAGGAAAAGCGGCCAACAAGUGCUAAGCACAUGUGGGAACUCCUUCAAGACUGUUGGAAAAGUAUUCCGGGUGAAGCUGGUUGAAAGAAUGUCAAGAGUGUGCAAACCUGUCAUCAAGGCAAAGGGUGGCUACUUUGAAGAAUCUAAAAUAUAUUUUGAUUUGUUUAACCUCUUACAUCUAGACGUUCCGCUAG
rnacentral:lncRNA from 1 species